rnacentral:snRNA from 1 species
NUAAUAAUAAAAUAAAAUAAAAUUGCAACAAUACAAGGAAAGAUUCACAUGACCCCUGCACAAGGAUAAGCAUGCAAAUUCAUGAUACAUUUCAUACUUUU